GUCUCGAGACCUCUCGUAAUGAAAGUACUCGGUUCAGAACAGGAAUAAUAAUGUGAAGCAAAUGAAAACGAAGGCGUCUAGGCAAGGUUUGCGGUAGAAGGAACAACGUACUGCUAUCUUGUGAAGAAGUGUUGCCAGGGCGACAGGCCUGGAAAUGGGCAAGUGACAGGAAAGGACAUGUGAUUUCUUCUGUGUGUGCACCUGCUGAUGUGAGAGCUGAGUACUAUGCUGUCCUCUCCAGCCACCAGAAUCAUGAUCCAAGUAAACUUCCUUACUUUACUGUCUGAAUCUCUCCCUCUGCUUGAAAUGCAUCAUGUAGUCAUUCCCAUGGGAAGGUUCUGAUUAAAGACAAAUCUGAUACGUGAGUUAGUUACAAUCUGCUGCCAGGUAUGGGAAAGGAAUAGAACCUUGGAUUCCAGACGAUGCACUAUUUCUUAUUCCACCCAGAGCAAUAUCUUCACUUACAGGACUUCUAUCUUCACCAAGUCAGUAUGCAAGGCCUUGUGACCUGUCCUCAGGAGUUGUGCAGGUUUUGGUACAUCAUCCGAGGUGGCCUUGAACUCUUUGUAGGCUGAGCUGUCCUCAAACUCAUGACACUCCUGCCUCAGCCUCCCAAAAGCUGCGAUUACAGGCACGUACCACCACAUUUGGCUCUUUUUCUUUUUCUUUUUAUCUUAAUGGAGUAAGAAGGGAGAAAAGUCUGGAAGCUGCCAUGAAAAGGGAGGAAGACUACUUCACCUCUGGGUGCACUGGAUAGGGCUGUGGGAAGCAAAGUGGGAAACAGCUGAAAGGGCUGCUGAGAAAACACCCACCUUGCAGAGGGUCUAGUUUUUUCAGUUAACAAAAAAGUAGAUACACACGCUUAUGGAGGAUGUUGAUAAAUGACAGAAGCAAGGUGCAGAAUGAUACAUCAAGUAUGAUCACAUUUCUACAGAACAGAAACAAAAGGAAUAAUCUCAAACACUUGGGCUGAGGACAUGGUUCAGGGAUACAGCACUUGCCUAGCAUGUGAAAGGCUCUGGGUUUGACCCCCAGCAUUGCAAUCAAGUAAAUGAAGCACACACAACCAAUAAAAAA